rnacentral:rRNA from 1 species
GACGAGGCACUACGGUGCUGAAGCAACAAAUGCCCUGCUUCCAGGAAAAGCCUCUAAGCAUCAGGUAACAUCAAAUCGUACCCCAAACCGACACAGGUGGUCAGGUAGAGAAUACCAAGGCGCUUGAGAGAACUCGGGUGAAGGAACUAGGCAAAAUGGUGCCGUAACUUCGGGAGAAGGCACGCUGACACGUAGGUGAAGUGAUUUACUCAUGGAGCUGAAGUCAGUCGAAGAUACCAGCUGGCUGCAACUGUUUAUUAAAAACACAGCACUGUGCAAACACGAAAGUGGACGUAUACGGUGUGACGCCUGCCCGGUGCCGGAAGGUUAAUUGAUGGGGUCAGCGCAAGCGAAGCUCCUGAUCGAAGCCCCGGUAAACGGCGGCCGUAACUAUAACGGUCCUAAGGUAGCGAAAUUCCUUGUCGGGUAAGUUCCGACCUGCACGAAUGGCGUAAUGAUGGCCAGGCUGUCUCCACCCGAGACUCAGUGAAAUUGAACUCGCUGUGAAGAUGCAGUGUACCCGCGGCAAGACGGAAAGACCCCGUGAACCUUUACUAUAGCUUGACACUGAACAUUGAGCCUUGAUGUGUAGGAUAGGUGGGAGGCUUUGAAGUGUGGACGCCAGUCUGCAUGGAGCCGACCUUGAAAUACCACCCUUUAAUGUUUGAUGUUCUAACGUGGACCCGUAAUCCGGGUUGCGGACAGUGUCUGGUGGGUAGUUUGACUGGGGCGGUCUCCUCCUAAAGAGUAACGGAGGAGCACGAAGGUUGGCUAAUCCUGGUCGGACAUCAGGAGGUUAGUGCAAUGGCAUAAGCCAGCUUGACUGCGAGCGUGACGGCGCGAGCAGGUGCGAAAGCAGGUCAUAGUGAUCCGGUGGUUCUGAAUGGAAGGGCCAUCGCUCAACGGAUAAAAGGUACUCCGGGGAUAACAGGCUGAUACCGCCCAAGAGUUCAUAUCGACGGCGGUGUUUGGCACCUCGAUGUCGGCUCAUCACAUCCUGGGGCUGAAGUAGGUCCCAAGGGUAUGGCUGUUCGCCAUUUAAAGUGGUACGCGAGCUGGGUUUAGAACGUCGUGAGACAGUUCGGUCCCUAUCUGCCGUGGGCGCUGGAGAACUGAGGGGGGCUGCUCCUAGUACGAGAGGACCGGAGUGGACGCAUCACUGGUGUUCGGGUUGUCAUGCCAAUGGCACUGCCCGGUAGCUAAAUGCGGAAGAGAUAAGUGCUGAAAGCAUCUAAGCACGAAACUUGCCCCGAGAUGAGUUCUCCCUGAGACUUAGAGUCUCCUGAAGGAACGUUGAAGACGACGACGUUGAUAGGCCGGGUGUGUAAGCGCAGAGAUGCGUUGAGCUAACCGGUACUAAUGAACCGUGAGGCUUAACCUUACAACGCCGAAG